rnacentral:rRNA from 1 species
UACGAAGGGGGCUAGCGUUGCUCGGAAUCACUGGGCGUAAAGGGUGCGUAGGCGGGUCUUUAAGUCGAGGGGUGAAAUCCUGGAGCUCAACUCCAGAACUGCCUUUGAUACUGAAGAUCUUGAGUCCGGGAGAGGUGAGUGGACUGCGAGUGUAGAGGUGAAAUUCGUAGAUAUUCGCAAGAACACCAGUGGCGAAGGCGCUCACUGGCCCGAUACUGACGCUGAGGCACGAAAGCGUGGGGAGCA